AUUGAACGCUGGCGGCAGGCCUAACACAUGCAAGUCGAGCGGAUGAAGGGAGCUUGCUCCUGGAUUCAGCGGCGGACGGGUGAGUAAUGCCUAGGAAUCUGCCUGGUAGUGGGGGAUAACGUCCGGAAACGGGCGCUAAUACCGCAUACGUCCUGAGGGAGAAAGUGGGGGAUCUUCGGACCUCACGCUAUCAGAUGAGCCUAGGUCGGAUUAGCUAGUUGGUGGGGUAAAGGCCUACCAAGGCGACGAUCCGUAACUGGUCUGAGAGGAUGAUCAGUCACACUGGAGCUGAGACACGGUCCAGACGCCUACGGGAGGCAGCAGUGGGGAAUAUUGGACAAUGGGCGAAAGCCUGAUCCAGCCAUGCCGCGUGUGUGAAGAAGGUCUUCGGAUUGUAAAGCACUUUAAGUUGGGAGGAAGGGCAGUAAGUUAAUACCUUGCUGUUUUGACGUUACCAACAGAAUAAGCACCGGCUAACUUCGUG
rnacentral:rRNA from 1 species